rnacentral:misc_RNA from 1 species
AUUUGGGAUUCGAAUUACAAUUAAUAUAAAACUUACAAAGUUUGGGUUUACUUUUGCCAUAGCCUAAAUCAUAAUUCUUCCACCAUUGCAAUAGAAUGCUUCUGGCGGUACUGUAGAAGUAGAACGCGCUCAUCUUUCUGAGAAGCUUACCGGAAAGCUUAGGAAGAUUAGCUCCGACAAGUCAAUUUAUAUUUCCUGCUCAGUCCAGUAAAAGCAAGAAAACUUUUUCCUGGAAAAUAGAGAAGAAAAGAAGAUGAACAGUACAUCACCAGCUCAUUCAUCAGUAUCAACAACAGCAAUCGUUGGAGGCGGCGGUAGCAAUGCCGCUUUGGAAGAUUUUCAUUUCCCUUCCGAUCUUAUAUCUAUCCAAGACCGCAAGGAAGAAGCCAUGCUUGUUCUGAAAGCUGAUUUGAUGGCUGCACUUAACAAAGAGGUUAAAUCCUUGGAUGAAGAUAAUUGGAAGUUUGAAGGACCUCGUUCACGCAUCAACCUUAUAUCAAGGCCUGGUUAGUGAUUCGAUCCAUCAAUUGUCCUUCCCUUUUAAUAUUUUCUGUUCUUUCUGCAUUUUAUUGGAUAAAGACAAGAAACAUGUCACUAUCCUUUAAUUCAUAAUUUACCAUAUGCAUGAUAUUUUAGAAGAGAAUUUCUUCUUUUUCCAAGUGCCAUUGAUACAGUUGCCUAAAAUGUGGUCAGCAUUGGAGAUAAAGGUCUAUACCCCUCUAUUAAUUGGGACAGAGGUGACUUUGGAUCUUGGACCAACUUUCAAGUUCUCUUGAGCAUAGAAAAUCAACUUGCAUAAAAUCGAAUUUGCUCGUCUUUAUCUCCCUGAUCAAAGCAUGAAAAAAGGGGAAUUUAAGGAAGAAAGAGUUUGUGAGGGAAACUUAUUAUCUCUCAACACCAUAGCAUCCUAUACCAUUAUAGACAGAUAUUUUAACUAGGACACUGAUUGCUGAACAUGGCAUCUUCUUUCAUGUUGGCAGUUGGCACUUGGAAAUGGCUGAUAAUGUAUUUGAAUUUGUUCUUUCACUUAUUGUGAAGUGUCCCUAACUCAUUUUUGCAGAUUAAGAAGGAUCAUUCACAAAGAAAGGAUCAAAACCUAUGAACUAAACUCAGUUUCUGUAGUUAAUUCCUGUUCUCUUGAAGAAAUCUAUAUUUCUUCCAUAGCAUUAAAGAAACCUCUCAACAAAAUUUUGAACCUUAAAUUCACUUUAGAUAACAUGUUUCAAAAGUUUUAGAUAAGUUUUGUGGCAUAUCUGAUAAACAUCAGUAUCUCCCUUCUAAAAUAUCCUUUCUUUUUAAGGAAUUGCACAUGCCAGGCUUAUGUGAAUUCCCUGUGAAAUCUAGAUAGAUAGAAGAGCUGAUUCUUAGUGACAGCCUUUGUAUCUUUCUGAUGUAUUCUUGUUUCUUUGUGCGUUCACGAGUCUGCAAGGCUUAUAUGAGCAGGUCAGUGCAUCUGUGCACAUUGUUGUUUGGGACUUCGCAGCCUACUAUAGGCCUCGAGAACCUGAUUUAUUUGUAAUCGUCUGGUCCAACCUUUUAUAAUUUGUCUUUUUUAAUAUCAUUAUAAUCAUUAUUGUUUGUUAUAUUUAUUGAAGAAAAUCUUCUGUUACUAAUUCUAAUAUCAGGUGGAUUUCUAAACAAGAAGAUGGAAAUAACAAAGAAUAGGAACAUAGCUCCACCAAAGUAAAUUAGAUUUUUCAGGCAGGUCACAUCUUUCAUCUGCUGUCUCUGAGAAAUCUGUUCUUCUGCUGCUGGCAAGACUAAAGCUGUUUUGUUGCUGAACUUCAAAAUGAAUGGCACAUAGUUGUUAGGUUACAGAGCUUCUAAAUCUGUUACUUAAACAGGAUCUUAAAAAUUUUCUUUUUAAUUGUUUUGCAACAUGAGUGAUUAAUGAUAUGCCAUUGUAGUGCCUGGGGAUUCUUUUUCUCUCAUGAUGAUAUGUUUCUCAUUGUAAAACAAAAUUUUAUUCAAAUAAUGAUAUCGAGAUAGGCAAUUUUAAAAUUAAAUCUUUUUAAGGAUUUUUUAUGAGUUCUUGGGACUCGAAGAAAUGUGAGAUAGACGAAUCUGUUCUAUGGAGUCACUUGAAGAUUCAAAAAGAUCUUAUUUCUUUGUCUUAUUUCUAAUAUUAGAAUUGUAAAUAAAAAAAUAUUCAUACAAUAAAAUAUGGGGUUAAGUUAAAUUG